rnacentral:rRNA from 1 species
GAUGAACGCUAGCUACAGGCUUAACACAUGCAAGUCGCGGGGCAGCAUGGGGGUUGCUUGCCACCCCUGAUGGCGACCGGCGCACGGGUGAGUAACGCGUAUCCAACCUGCCCUUCACCACGGGAUAACCCGGCGAAAGUCGGACUAAUACCGUAUGUUGUCCAUUGACGGCAUCCGAUUUGGACGAAAGGCUUGGCGGUGAGAGGAUGGGGAUGCGUCCGAUUAGCUUGACGGCGGGGUAACGGCCCACCGUGGCUACGAUCGGUAGGGGUUCUGAGAGGAAGGUCCCCCACACUGGAACUGAGACACGGUCCAGACUCCUACGGGAGGCAGCAGUGAGGAAUAUUGGUCAAUGGGCGUAAGCCUGAACCAGCCAAGUAGCGUGCAGGAUGACGGCCCUAUGGGUUGUAAACUGCUUUUAUGCGGGGAUAAAGUGGCCCACGUGUGGGCUUUUGCGGGUACCGCAUGAAUAAGGACCGGCUAAUUCCGUG